AGGAAAUAGAUACCCGGGUAGUCCACGCUGUAAACGAUGAGUGCUAGAUGUUGGUGGAGGAAAUCCAUCAGUGUCGCAGCUAACGCAUUAAGCACUCCGCCUGGGGAGUACGGUCGCAAGAUUAAAACUCAAAGGAAUUGACGGGGGCUCGAACAAGCGGUGGAGUAUGUGGUUUAAUUCGACGCAACGCGAAAAACCUUACCAGCUCUUGACAUGGGAAUUAUGGAUAUCAGAGAUGAUAUUCUUCGGUUCGGCCGGGUUCCACACAGGUGCUGCAUGGCUGUCGUCAGCUCGUGUCGUGAGAUGUUGGGUUAAGCCCCGCAACGAGCGCAACCCUCAUCAUUAGUUGCCAUCAGGUUUGGCUGGGCACUUUAAUGAAACUGCCGGUGAUAAGCCGGGGGAAGGUGGGGAUGACGUCAAGUCCUCAUGGCCCUUAUGGGCUGGGCUACACACGUACUACAAUGGUGAGACAACGGGCAAGCGAAGGGGCGAACCCCUAGCCAAUCCUUUAAAAAACCCAUCUCAGUUCGGAUUGUCC
rnacentral:rRNA from 1 species